rnacentral:rRNA from 1 species
CAAAAACAUAGCCAUAUGAAUUAAUAUAUGGUGUUUUCUGCUCAAUGAAUAUUAAAUAGCCGCAGUACCUUGACUGUGCUAAGGUAGCGCAAUCAAUUGACUUUUAAUUGAAGUCCGGAAUGAAAGAAAUUAUGGGGGACUACUUUCUUGUUAACAAUAAGAGAAUUUACUUAUGAAGUGCAAAUUCUUCUAUUAAAAUAAUAGACGAGAAGACCCUAGAAAUUUUAAAGAAUUUACCUUUUUGUUGGGGCAACAAAGUAACAUUAUUAAACUUACUUUAAUAACAAGAAAGAUAUAUCUUGAAAGUUUAAAUUACUCUAGGGAUAACAGCAUAAUUUGUUAAAGUUUGUGACCUCGAUGUUGGAUUAGGGAAUCUACGUUUAGAAGAUAAUUGAUAUGCUCUGUUC